GAUGAACGCUGGCGGCGUGCCUAAUACAUGCAAGUCGAGCGAACGGACGAGAAGCUUGCUUCUCUGAUGUUAGCGGCGGACGGGUGGGUAACACGUGGAUAACCUACCUAUAAGACUGGGAUAACUUCGGGAAACCGGAGCUAAUACCGGAUAAUAUUUUGAACCGCAUGGUUCAAAAGUGAAAGACGGUCUUGCUGUCACUUAUAGAUGGAUCCGCGCUGCAUUAGCUAGUUGGUAAGGUAACGGCUUACCAAGGCAACGAUGCAUAGCCGACCUGAGAGGGUGAUCGGCCACACUGGAACUGAGACACGGUCCAGACUCCUACGGGAGGCAGCAGUAGGGAAUCUUCCGCAAUGGGCGAAAGCCUGACGGAGCAACGCCGCGUGAGUGAUGAAGGUCUUCGGAUCGUAAAACUCUGUUAUUAGGGAAGAACAUAUGUGUAAGUAACUGUGCACAUCUUGACGGUACCUAAUCAGAAAGCCACGGCUAACUACGUG
rnacentral:rRNA from 1 species